UUUUUCAUUUAAGAAGAUUCAAACUUGAUAUCUUAUUUAUAAAAAAAUAAAAAAAAUUCUUCAGUACUGGUGACAACUUCGUCUACCGUCGUUAGUGCAUCCUCAAGCUUGCACAAGCUAGCUUGCUUAGCGUUUAGCAGCAAAAUUGGAUAAGUAUUCAAACAUGCAACACCCUGGUCCAAGCUGAUGGAAACCCGUCUACAAAAUUGAUCUAGUUGUUAUAGAUUCAAAAAAAAUGAUGAAGAAUCAGAACAUGUUUAUAUGUCGGCAUGUCGCGGCAGUGAGGUAAAUAAAACAGGUUUCAAGAUCAGGUGCUGUCUUCUUCCAUAAAGACGUGGUUUCCUUUCCAUCUAGCUUGAUAUAAUGGUAGGCAUGUGUCACGUACGGAUACAUUGAAGUGAAGUUGGACGAUUUGGCUACAAUCUCUCAUUCAUGCGCAUCCAACACUUAUCAGAAUAUGUAAAUUACUAUCCAUUAGUAUCAUUUAUCAAGAUCUAUUUGUGUUUAUACCCCAGGGGUGAUAGUCAAAUGCCUGUCUCCAGAAAUUGAAGUUGUGGAAGAAAUUUUUAGGGUUAUUUAA